GUGUCACACUGCACAAAUGAACGGCAACUGCUCUUUUCAAAGCAGAUAACAGGAAGACAACUCAAAGAAGGCCAGACUUGGAGACUAGAGGGUGACAUCUUAGAAAGGACACAGAGGCAGGACACACAUUUGCGCAUCCUGAGCUUUUCAUUUGGCUGCUGGCAUCAACGGCAGGUGCAACAUUGGCUCACGAAGCUCAAGAAAGUGUGCUGAACCUGGACUAGCCAAUAUCCAAGGGCCCCAAGGGAGAGAAUCUGAGUCCAGAGUAACCAGCCAGGGAUGAAGGACGCCAGGACUCAUCUUGGACCAGCAGGUGUGAAAGAUGUUAGACAUGAAAAUGAAGAUUCUUCUUGGCGUUGCUGGCGGUCUACUGUUUAUUAUGUAUAUGCUGUUAAUUUAUGUUUAUUAUCUUACCUGUAAAGCAGCCAAGGAAGUCAAAUUCGCAAAUUGUCAAGAUGUUGAAAAGUGUGUUGAACCAAGAAAAUUUACUCAAGAAGAGAUCAUCGAGGUCAAACAGAUUUUUGAUAAUUCUUGUAACCUGCAGUACUAUGAGGAGUGUAGCACCUAUGCAGAUUCUGACACCCUGCCACCAUGUAUUUGUGGCCUCAGUGAUGGCUGAGAUGGAACCCAAAAUUAUCACAAUCAGUAUUUCUUUGUUAGUAGAAUAUUUUGUUUUUCAAAUUAAUUUCUGUUAUGUUUAUUCUUAUUUAUCCUUUAAUAUGGUUUUAUGUUCUUUGUAUAAAUGCACCAUAAUAAAAAUA